AACGAACGCUGGCGGCGUGGAUAAGACAUGCAAGUCGAACGGGAACUUCAGCUGUAGCAAUACAGUUGAAGUUUUAGUGGCGAACGGGUGCGUAACACGUGGGCAAUCUGCCGAGAAGUGGGGGAUAGCUCGCCGAAAGGCGAAUUAAUACCGCAUAUGAUCAGCUAAGACAUCUUAGCGACAUCAAAGCCGGGGCAACCUGGCGCUUUUUGAGGAGCCCGCGGCCUAUCAGCUAGUUGGUGAGGUAACGGCUCACCAAGGCUAUGACGGGUAGCUGGUCUGAGAGGACGACCAGUCACACUGGAACUGAGACACGGUCCAGACACCUACGGGUGGCAGCAGUCGAGAAUUUUUCUCAAUGGGGCAACCUGAAGGAGCGACGCCGCGUGGAGGAUGAAGGCUUUCGGGUUGUAAACUCCUGUCAUUUGAGAACAAGGUG
rnacentral:rRNA from 1 species